AAUCAAAGUAUCAGGUUUGGCUUUUAUUUGUUUGCCAAAAUUAAGGUAAUCCGAGAAUGAUGCUAAUCUUUGAGAAAGAGUUACGAAAAAAAUGGACUUCCGUUGGAAAAUAUUUUUAGUUGGAAAAAGAUUUUCUUAUCAUAAAAAAAUAUUUUAAGGGAGAAUGAUACAACACUCACAAAUCGAGAAACCAAAUCAUUCACAAAGCUCAACAACAGAAGAUCGCAAAGAACAAGAAAAUCAGUUGAAGAAUAAUUUUAUCUUCUCGAAAAAAAGUGACAACACAAAAUCAGGAUAUGUCUGCACAUAAACCACAAACAAUUUUUACUGAUCAAGAUCCUGCAAUAGCUGCUGCUAUCUCAUUGAUAAUGAGUCAUUUCCGAGAGAUUUUAGCAAACUGUACCGGAGAGGAGCUGCUCCCAAAUGAACCCCACUGACUCAAGAUUAUCCGUGAGAAAGCAUAAAAUACCACUCUUUCAAUUGAUAGACUGUAAACAUUCGUGCAUCUAAAAGUGCUUUUUACAAGGGGACCUGUCAGAUAUAAACAGCAUGAUCGUAUUCCUUUUUCAGACCCAAAGAGUUGGGAAGGACUCUCAGCUUGGAUUUGGAAGGAGAGAGCGAUUUGAGUUUGGACUCUUGGAACUACAAGUUACAGCUAUCUAGUCCUAACUCCCUAAGAGCAUCCGUUGCAACAUUCUUAUAGCUUUUGUAAUUCAUCUUAUCCUUUCUCAUGAGUUUCUCAAUGACAUUACGAAGGAAAAUAGCUAUGUUUUCUGGACUCCUAACCACAAGAUUUUGAAUCAUGAAACAACAACUUCUUUGUAGUAACUCUGAUUCUGGAAACCUCUGCAUUUCUUGGAUAACGGCAUCAUCGGAUCUUGCUUCAAUUACACACUCAGCAAUCUGCAUUAUGUGAAACCUCAAGGACAGUAUAGUUAUCAUAGACAUGAGAACUUAGAUGCCGAUAAUUUCAUCUACUUGGCACUUGUGUUUCAUGCACUUCAUGGUCAUAGCAUCGGGAAUUCAUCCAUUUUUCUCAUUACCAACAUGUUCAAGAAUUAUACACACCACUCCUUGUACAAAAAUUUCAAGUAUACGCGUAAAAUUUUAGUAUAAAGAAAACAAAUUAAAAGAGAGGACUUACAUUGUCAAUGAACUUUCGUCUGCUGAAUAUUAAAGCAAAAAAUCAAUAGCACAAAAAGUGACAAAUAAAAUAGAAAAGAAAAAUGUUGAUAGGUUUCUUAUAAAUG